AUUCGUUAUAUCAUUCUCUGCAUUUAACGUCCAAGGGAAAUGAAAUUUGUAAUGUUGGGAUAAUUCAUUCGUUAAAUAGGUUCAUUGACAUUGUGUCAAAAUGGCCUGGUCAACACACAUGACGCCUCUGUCUUUGACAGCUUUGGUUUGAACUUUGAAGACCUUUCCUGGAAGAAAACCACCUAGGAUACCUACUUGGCAACUCCGGCUAUUCGUUAAAAAAAAAUAUGUAUAAAGGCCCUUGCUUAGGCCAACAACAGAUGCAGUGGUGAGGUGUCUAGAUAAAACUGAAGGAUGUUUAUUCAUGAGACUCGAUGAGUGCUGUCAAGCAGUGGAUGCAUGAAUGCGCCUACAUAAAUGAAUCGGUGUAGAAAUGAAGAAAUUAUAGUAAAGGCAAUUUUGGGUGGGUGUGGUCUAUGUGGGCGGGGCCCCAGGGUUGGUUAUGGGGCCAUGCAUAGUUGAGAUUGACCCUAAUGUCAUAAGAGAAGUUCAGUAUCAAUUUGAAGUGAAUCCGUGUAGAAAUGAAAAAAUUAUAGUAAAUGGAAUUUUUUGGUGGGUGUGGCCUAUGUGGGCGGGCGCCCCAGGGUUAGGAUUGGGGCCAUGCAUAGUUGAGAUUGACCCUAAUGUCAUAACAAAAGUUCAGUAUCAAUUUGAAGUGAAUCCGUGUAGAAAUGAAAAAAUUAUAGUAAAUGGAAAUUUUUGGUGGGUGUGGCCUA